rnacentral:tRNA from 1 species
GGUGGCUCAGUGGUAGAGUGCUUGUCUUGCAUGCAUGGGGCCCUGAGUUCGAUUCCUCAGCACCA